rnacentral:rRNA from 1 species
GACGAACGCUGGCGGCGUGCUUAACACAUGCAAGUCGAACGAUGAAGCCGGAGCUUGCUCUGGUGAAUUAGUGGCGAACGGGUGAGUAACACGUGAGUAACCUGCCCUUGACUCUGGGAUAACUGCUAGAAAUGGUAGCUAAUACCGGAUACGACCCUCGGCGGCAUCGCCAGGGGGUGGAAAGAAUUUCGGUAAAGGAUGGACUCGCGGCCUAUCAGCUAGUUGGUGAGGUAACGGCUCACCAAGGCGACGACGGGUAGCCGGCCUGAGAGGGUGACCGGCCACACUGGGACUGAGACACGGCCCAGACUCCUACGGGAGGCAGCAGUGGGGAAUAUUGCACAAUGGGCGCAAGCCUGAUGCAGCAACGCCGAGUGAGGGAUGACGGCCUUCGGGUUGUAAACCUCUUUUAGUAGGGAAGAAGCGAAAGUGACGGUACCUGCAGAAAAAGCACCGGCUAACUACGUGCCAGCAGCCGCCGUAA